UCUUGUUUUCCUCGCAUCCAGACUGCGGCUGACAGCAGUUCCACAAUAUUGGUGAGUAACUAUACAAAAAAGCUUUAAUUUACUGUAACUGCAUCUGAUAAAUAUGUAAUGUUAUAUGGUGCUUUUGAAUAAGUUUACUGUUUUAUGGGUGUGUUUUGUUAUAUGUACAUACACCCACGCAUCUUUAAUUGGGCGGAUUGCAUGAAGUUACUGACACGUUAGAGUGAUCAAAGAAGCAUGGAUCAAUGAAAAAUUAAGAGCUUGAUUAUUUUAAAACCGCUAUUAGCCGCGAAACAGAACUGAAAUCGUUAAUCCCACAACAGCUUUCUGUGCUUGUACACUGGAGGCACGCGCACGAGACCCACAGCGUCAGUACUGUCUCCUGACGUUUGAAUAGUAAAAUAUAUACACAAAAUAUGUCGUAAAUUUCCGUCUUAAUGAGCUUAAAUAUAACACAGUGACUUAUGAAUUAAGAGAGUGUAAACUUUUGGGAGUACAUUAGAUUUGAGUCAAUACACUGAGAAAAGGUGCACAAGGCAUGUCAUUACUCUAAAGAACUCAAAACAUUACAUUUUCUGUCUAGCCAUCAGUGUUAUGUAAAUAUUUGGUCAAUUUAAAAUUAAAAUAAUGUAUUGUUAGUGUAAAGUAUACAUUUCUGUAAAUUGAAAUUUAAAAUAUUGGUUCCCAUUGUCACGUGAUUUAUAACGUAAUCCAUGGUCAUGCGUGAGAACGUUCAGCAUUCUGCCAUCUUGUUAAACCGCAUGGAUGAACUCGGCGUGGUAAAACGUGAAUAAAGAAAAUUGGACGGGGUACUGCUGAACAACAAUUAGGACAGGUUUUGAAUAAUCCAGUCACAUGAAAAACUAACUCAAUGUGGAAAUGCAAAGAUUGUGGUGUCUCCACAGCCAAGCGUUCUGAGCUUCUCAAACAUUUUAAGCUUGAUCAUAGGAAUUUUGGACAUCGUCAUCCUUAUCCUUGCGUUUAUUCAGACUGUCCUUGUUCAUUUAAAACUUGGAGUUCUCUGAAGAGCCAUGUGUCAAGGAGGCAUCCUCAGCAUCCCUCUCAAAAAGAUGAAUUGACAACUUAUAAAUGCUUGCUUUGUGAAUACAAACACACAUCAUCAUUUAAAGACUAUUUCCAUCAUAUUGGGCAGCACCUGAAAAAUAAUGAAACUGUUCCUUGUGUCUUUAGUGACAGUUGAAAGGUCUCGGAUGCCCUGAGUAUUUGGUAAAUUCUCUGAAAACCAAAGCCUCAGGCCAUGCUUUUCCAGCAAAAAAUGUUAAACGACCUAAACAUGGUGAGGCCAAUCAUAUCCCAUCCCUACCUAUUGGAGAGACAAGAGAUUGUGGAAAACCAACCUAGUGUUCAAGAUCUGCAAGAAAGAUGGCCAGCUCUGUUUCAACAAGAGGAGAUUAAUUUUUUCGCAUCACAACCUUACCUUUACAAUCAAGAUUUAUGGCCUCUUUGGACAGACAGCUCUCAGCUUCUCCAGGUUAUUAGGAGCAAAGGUGGAGCCCUCCGUGAAAAAACCAAGGACACUAUUAAAGUUAUGGAUCAGAGUUUGGACAUAGACAUCAGAAGAGAGUGCCUGCUGAAGUGCCUGAUCACAUAACUUGGUAAAGAUGCAAGCUGUCUGAUCAAAGAAUACCAGGCUGACCAGAGGGAGGAAGCAGAGAGAGAAUUUGAAAAGACCACCAUGGCGUUUUUUGUGAUCCGUGAAACUGAUGCUAGUCGUGCACUGGACAUUUCCAUUGUCAUUGACGGUGUGGAAGUACUCAAUGUGUUGCCCUCUGUUGCAUGUGCCUGUGCCAUGAUGUUUGGACUCAUUUAUGCACUGAACUUAAAAUAUCCUGAAGGACUCAAAUACACCUUUGAGGCCUUUCAAAAAAGAAUCAUGGACAUAGAGAGUAAGCAGAUGAGCCGAAGGGUGCAGAACCUCUCUUCAAAGCUGCAGGAAUGAAUUUGUUUCCUUUGACUCAGCUACAGUGUUCUUCUGAUGAUAUGUUUCUUUGAAGAUGUUGGACCGUAUAAAUCCUUUUAUACAAAGUUAACUGUACUACUGUUUACUAAACCGGAUUUGUUUUAUCUUGGUUAAAUUGUGUUUUAUCUAGGGUCAAUUAAAUAGAUUUCCCAAAAAUAAAAAUUCUUACGUUGUUUAAUCAUCCUUAAGCUAUUCAAGUAUUUAACUUUACAUUUGGUUCAGAGACAUUUCGACAAUUAUGAGAGAAGUUUCAUUUUUGGGUAAACUAUUCCAUGAAGGUGAAAAUUUAUUUUUAAAUUUCAAUUUAUUUUUUUAUUUCUACCAUUGGCUAAUUUGGUAGGUGUUUUAUUAAAAGUGUUUUGUUUUACACUGCCCAAUUUAAAGCAGUUUUUGGGCCAAACUUGUUUUAACUUCUAAAGGUUUGAUUUGUGUAGUCAGUUCUGAUUGACAGUUCAUGGAAAUGAUUACAGAAUUUUAAAUGUUUGAUUGUGUAGUCAGAUCUGAACAGACUGUUCAUGGAAAGAUUGUAUGUUUCUCUUUGAAACCAUAACUGAUUCUUAUGGUGAAUUUACAUUGUAUCCAGUGUGUCAAUGCACAAUGUGUUUUUAUAAAAAUUCUGUACACAUUGUAGAAAUGUUUUAUGACAAAAAUUGUCAAGUUUAUGAUGUGUUUAUAUUGUUAGUGUGUAUUUGUAUCAGGAUACUGAACACAUUGUAAAAAAAAAAAAAAAAAAUUGUAUUAUGACAAAAUA